rnacentral:misc_RNA from 1 species
AACGCACGAGACCUGCGGACCUGCGGAAGGAUCAUUAAAGAUUCUCCAAUCGGCUGUGCGCUUUGGCUGCACGUCGGUUCAAACCACACACACCUGUGCACCUCGGGCGUGGAAACACCGUCCGCCUUUAACAUACAACUAGCAAACCAGGAUGUCAUAACCAUAAAAACAUAUACAACUUUUAACAACGGAUCUCU